rnacentral:lncRNA from 1 species
CUACCCCUCUAAAAGAGGAGUUGAGAGAGGAUCCCAGCCAUCAAAAUGAAGGGCUAAGAUCCUCCCCAAGGAGGUUGCCCUAAAAGAAGGGGAUUGCCAUAGGGCAGCCGCCAGCCACCUCAUUUAAGGCCUAGAAGGCCCAAAGAUUCAACAGUCCAAAAUAUCUCUAAGAUAAUCAAGGGUUAAGAUUAAUUUUCAGCCUAAGGACUCAUUAAAAAGGGGGAAAAUUUCAUGGCCAUGUCAUCCACCUGUAGAGGAGAGGGGUGUUCACACAAGGAGAAGAGGAAGACAC